ACUUAAGCAUAUCAAUAAGCGGGGGGAAAGAAACUAACAAGGAUUCCCCUAGUAACUGCGAGUGAAGCGGGAAAAGCUCAAAUUUAAAAUCUGGCGGUCUUUGGCCGUCCGAGUUGUAGUCUGGAGAAGUGCUUUCCGCGCUGGACCGUGUAUAAGUCUCUUGGAACAGAGCGUCAUAGAGGGUGAGAAUCCCGUCUUUGACACGGACUACCAGUGCUUUGUGAUGCGCUCUCAAAGAGUCGCGUUGUUUGGGAAUGCAGCGCAAAAUGGGUGGUGAAUUCCAUCUAAAGCUAAAUAUUGGCGAGAGACCGAUAGCGAACAAGUACCGUGAGGGAAAGAUGAAAAGCACUUUGGAAAGAGAGUUAAACAGUACGUGAAAUUGCUGAAAGGGAAACGCUUGAAGUCAGUCGCGUUGUCCGGGACUCAGCCUUGCUUCGGCUUGGUGCACUUCCCGGAUGACGGGCCAGCAUCGAUUUUGACCGCUGGAAAAGGGCUGGAGGAAUGUGGCACCUUCGGGUGUGUUAUAGCCUCCAGUCGCAUACGGCGGUUGGGAUCGAGGAACGCAGCACGCCUUUAUGGCGGGGGUUCGCCCACCUUCGUGCUUAGGAUGCUGGCAUAAUGGCUUUAAACGACCCGUCUUGAAACACGGAC
rnacentral:sRNA from 1 species